ensembl:lncRNA
AGAAAUAGCAGACAAGAUCUACAAUCUCUUCAAUGGCUAUACCAGUGGGAAGGAGCAGCAGACCGCCUAUAACACGCUUCUGGACCUGGGUUCCCCCACACUACAUCGAGUCCUCUACCACUAUAACCAGCACUACGAGAGUUUUGGGGAGUUCACCUGGCGCUGUGAGGAUGAACUGGGCCCCAGGAAAGCUGGCCUCAUCCUGUCUCAGCUUGGGGAUCUCAGCAGUUGGUGCAAUGGACUCCUUCAGGAACCCAAGAUAAGCUUGAGACGCAGCUCCCUCAAGUACCUGGGCUGCCGCUACAGCGAGAUCAAGCCCUAUGGACUUGACUGGUCAGAGCUCAGCCGGGACCUCAGGAAGACCUGCGAGGAGCAGACCCUGAGCAUUCCGUACAAUGGUUAUGGGGACAGUAAAGACAUCUAGCGCCACGAUCCAGAGAGCGGCCGCCACAGGAGGAAGAGAGGAGGGGACCGUCUGGGUUGGUGUGCGGAUUUUUAAUAUUUUUAAUGGAACAUUGAAACCUCCACAGGCAACAUCAUAGCCAGGGAGAAGGUGAUCCUUGAUCCCUGCAGAAUUUCUUUGGUAUCAUGUUCUCAUCUGCAUGACCAGCUAGCCUUGCUAGCUAGGGCUUCACCAGUUUCUCUUUAGGGGGUUACUUUGGGGCUUGUUUUGCCGUUAAUUUGUUUUGUUCGUUUUUUUUUUCCCCAAGAGGUUCAUUAGAAUGCUCAAGAGUUCUGCCAUGCUUCUCAUGAAAGGGCCAUCAGGUUGGUGCACCUAUGCUGGGUUCCUGCAUUACUUACAGCUGGAGACAGAGAGGAGGCCAGCAAGUUGUUACAGCGGCCCCAGGCCUCAGCCUCACGCGUUCCUGGGGAGGCAUCUCACGCUGGGAGCCUGAGCUCUGCUCUCAGAGAACAAGAACAAAGUCGGGAAGGUGGCCCCUGUGUAGUCUCACGGUUUUCCCCCAGGCCAUCCGAUUGCUGGAAAGGUGAACUCAGCCUCCCUUAUGGGCCCCAGCAGGCCUCCUGGAUUUUUUCGGUCCUCCCUCCACUUUAAGACAAGACUGGAAUUAAAUCUCUCUCUGGAAGAACUCUGCCCACUCCUCCAAUAUGGUUUUUAAGAGACGACAAAAUGCUACCCGUCAGAUGCCCCUGCAGGGCUGUCUCGCCCGGAGUCUAGUUAGCAGUCCCUGUUAGAGCAAAGAAGUGUACUUUCUUGUUUCAGAAGACUUCUGUGCCUCCAGGGCGAGCUUCUUCAGACCAGCAGUAUUCAUCGCACACGCACAGCUGCGUUCUCUUUAGUGUCCACACCACUUGGAGCGCACGGUUAAGGCCGGGCUGAUGUCUCCUCUGGUCAAGAGGGAUCAAGACCUCCGUGUCAGUGUUUCAGUGUUCUGAAGUCACUGCGCAGCACAAAACACUUCUGUCUGUUCUCCCUUUGCCAAAUUGGCUUAGUUGUGUGGCUAGUUUUGCAGUUCAUUUCUCUACAUGGGGAUGCCACCAUUUGGGCCCCCAUCUAGUUGCCAGAAGUAGCAGAUUCUGUACAGGGGAGCCCCUCACCACAGGUAAGGGCUGGCCCAUGGUUUCUGUCCCACUCCCCCGGCGUUGGCACCGGCAUAAUGGCCGCAGGGCCCUGUGGACCAGCAAAGGCCUUAAGUGUCCCCAUAACCCUCCAAGCCUGAACACACACUUUCAGCCACCCUGCCUUUGACCAGGGCCCUUCUUUUGGAAACACCAGAGAAAAGUCAGGCAGGAGAUGCAGAAUCUGUAAGGCCAGCUGCUGAGCCCUACUGAUUAUUUUCUGGAAGAGUAAUAAUGACAGCUCAUUUAUUGAGUGCUUACUGUGUGCCAGAUGCUGCUCUAAGCACUUUACAUCUCCCUGAGGUCUCACACCACCACCCUGCACCCCCCACCCUGCAAGUGCUAUUCUUGGCUCCAUUUCAGUGAUAGGGAAACUGAGGCAAAGAGCGAUUAGGCAACUUGCCCCCACCCCCCGCCGCCUGGUUUCUCACUUACCGGAGCCACCAUAUGGAUUCAGGCUAUCAGACUCCAGAGCACAGGAUUUUAACCCCUCUCCAUCCUCAGCACUGCUUUCAGUAUUGCCUGGGGGUGGGGGCAGCUCUCCCCGCUGCUCCCUUGCCUCCUUGGCACUGGUUUGUGCGGUGUGCUGGAAGGGCCACACAGCGUGCUCUAACCCACAGCUCGAGUGCCCUUUGGGACCGUAGGUCUGCAGCACCAGCCUGGGAGUGAGCCUGUGGUUAGGCUGCAAGUGCAGGUUGGCCUCACGCUGCAUCUUUCCACAGAAGGCUUUAGAGAGGUCACACUCUGGAAGGCAGGCUCCCAGAGGGCCCCUCAGUUACAGAGCCAGAGGAGCGGGUGCAGGCAGCAGCCCAGGGGACCCCAGCCAAAGGAGCGGGGCCUUGGGGAGAGCUGGUUCUGCUACCCAUUCCUCUGUCUUUGUUCAGGUCUCACGGAAACCCAAGUCCACGCUGCUGCCAACUAGGAGAACCCCUCACCUGGGGCUACUGCUGCCUUGGGCCAGGGAAGGGGUGGGGAGUGGCAUCAGGGGCAGCAUUCUUUGUCCCUCCUGUGUUACUAACAUAAAAGAGGCUCACACUGUCCUUCUCCCCUCCCCCUCCACUCCGCCAGGUCCUCUACCUCUUGUUCACUUGCUUCAUCUUCCUCUGCUUCUCCUGUCCUGUCCCCUCCUCCUCAGCCCCUUCCUUCCCCUUCAGUGUCCCCUGCACCCUCCACACACCCUACACACUCUGCACAGUAUAUACACAUGCACACGCAUACUACACACUACACAAUAUAGACACGCUACACACAACAUACACACUACAUGGUAUAGGCACUGUAUACACAACACCCACUAUGCAUACAACACACACUACACAGUAUAGACGCAUACUACACACAAUAAAUACACAACAUACUACAUAGACAUACACUCUACACAUAUAUACACACACACACACACUACACACACACUACAUGGUAUAGGCACACACUGUAUACACAACACCCACUAUACAUACAACAUACACACUACACAGUAGACACAUACUACACAAAUUACUCAACAUACUACAUAGCAUAGACACACUACACACACUGUACAUAUAACAUACUACACACAAUCUACAUGCUCUACAGAGUAUACACACUACACACUAUACACAUGUGCACAUACUACAUACACUGUACACACCUUACAUAGAGUAUACACACAAUAAACACACUGUACACACCCUAUGCAGAGUACACACAUACUACACACACUACAACAUACACACCACAGAUACACUGUACAUGCUCUACACAGUCUAUACACACACUACACAGGCACAACUGUAGGCACACACAUUAUACACACAGACUAUAUGCACACACGCUACACACAGCCAGAUGUACACACUACAGCAUGUACACUUUCUACACAAUAUACACAGCGUACACACACAUGGUGCACACAGUUAUCUACACACAUGCUACACACUCCACACAGAGUAUACACACACUAUAUAUACACAGUACAGACACACAUUAUGUACACAAACUACACACACACACUGUACAACCCCUGUGGCUGGGUCCCAUCUACUUUCAAGUAAAAAAUACGGCCAUUAUGGAGCAGGAAGGAGCAUUAAGACCCCCUGAGGAACUGACUGGAAGACAUUUGCCCCAGGACAGCACCGUUGGUCACAGCCUGAGGGCACGGCCUCCACUUUGACUGGAGGAAGCCAUUCUGACUAGAAAAGGCAAUGAUGGGCCAGUAUUAAACCUCAACUUCCAAGCUGCCGAACAGGCCUCAGCGAGUCGCUUUGACCCACCAACACUCACCUGCCCCAGGUUCCCACAAGACCGCUGUGUCUCCUCCCGAGUGGACAUGACUCGCCGGAACAGCAUUCGCCCUUUAACUGAAAGUGCAAUCAUUUCUCAUGGAGUUUGGUCCGUUCUUUACUUUUAGUUAAUCACACUUCUUGAUAUUUGAAAAUGUUCUAUUAAAAAAUUGAGUGUGGAAAAAACCCCACUUUGCUACUAGAGAAAGAAGAGAGAGAGUACAAUGCGACCAACUGCAGGUAUAACAGUGUUGUUUAAAAGAAUCAUUGUAUGAUUAUACAAAUGGAAUCAUCAACUAAAUAAUAAACGAAGCUGUUAGUAAGUG